rnacentral:rRNA from 1 species
AGCAGCCGCGGUAAUUCCAGCUCCAAUAGCGUAUAUUAAAGUUGUUGCAGUUAAAAGCUCGUAGUUGAACUUCGGGAUUUGUUCGUUGGUCAGGCUUCACUGUCUGUACUGGUGUUACGAAUUCCUACCUUCUGACGAAUCUUCAUGCCAUUCACUUGGUGCGGAGGGGAAUCAGGACUGUUACUUUGAAAAAUUGAGUGUUUAAAGCAGGCUAUUGCUCGAAUAUAUUAGCAUGGAAUAAUAAAAUAGGACGGUUGGUUCUAUUUUGUUGGUUUCUAGGAUCACCGUAAUGAUUAAUAGGGAUAGUUGGGGGCAUUAGUAUUCAAUUGUCAGAGGUGAAAUUCUUGGAUUUAUUGAAGACUAACUACUGCGAAAGCAUUUGCCAAGGAUGUUUUCAUUAAUCAAGAACGAAAGUUAGGGAUCGAAGACGAUCAGAUACCGUCGUAGUCU